GGCCAGCCCGGGGAGGAAGAUGGAGGAGCCGCGGCCGGGCGGGCACCGCGGCCGUGCCAGGAGCGCGGCGGAGGGGCUGCUCUUGAUGGGUGGAAAACACCGCUUCUCGCUCUCCUCACGGCAUGGAAAAUACCGAAACACGCUUUAGGAGAAAAAAAUAACACAGCAACAACCCCCAAACAGCUGAGGAUUGAUGUAUCUUCAGGGAAGAAGCCGUCGCCGCUCGCCUGGCUCCUCACGACAACCUGCCCGCCAUUUGCUUAAUUAAAAGCAUAUACUUGAUGUGAUCAGAUGUGGUAAUACCGUAAAAAAAAAAACCCAAACCAAACCAAAAUACCCCGUAACAUCCAAACGCUCGUUGUUGGAGGCUGCAGCCAAGCGCUGGAAAUGUGGAGAACGCACCAAACGCACGUGGGGACAGACAAACGUAUUCUGGGGUCACUUCAACUCUGGAGGAGAAGCCCUGGGAUGUGUUGGUUUGGAGAUGCUCCUUGUGCUCACCGGAGGUACCAAGAAGCUGCUUGUUGGGGAUGUUUCCACGUUUUUGAGGUUGGCAACACCCCGUGGGACUCGGAAUUAACUUUUCUUUGGUAGUCGAGGACAAACGAGUGAGAAUCACCUUGGGAGCGCUGAACUUUUACCCCCCUCUCCUUCGGACUGAAGAGCUUCUAGAACUACAUCGGUGAGGCUUCCAAGUUAAACAAAACCUGAAUUCCCGCUGCCAAAAAGCAAGCGAGCGAUAGAAACCUCCACAUCUCCUCCGUGAGGGGGGACACCGCGGUCUCCCGAGAUUAUUCUGGUAUCCCCAAGAGUUAAAAAUGCUGCAUCGUGAGACCUGCGGAGGUCAAACGAAAGCCAGAGCUCACCGAGAAACUCUUCUCCGUAUCGCUCAAGGGGUUUUUGAGCAUAGCAGGUCUCCACGCACCAUUAUUUUUGUGUCUUUGUCAGGACCAAAGGAGCGAUAAUAGUGUGUUCAGUCUGCUUUGUUUAAAACACCGUCGAGUUGCUUUGCUAUCAAAAUGGUGUCUGGUGAAAGAAAAGCUCUGGUGGUGGCUGGCUCGGUGGUUAUUUUGUGCCAACCGAUCCCUCGUGGCUUUGGGCUGUGGGUUCGUGUUAAACCCUUGUCCUCCAGCG
rnacentral:lncRNA from 1 species